UUUCUUCGUAAUGGAGCCUUUCUUCAAGUUCACUUUCCACCACUGUUUCCUCUUCAGAUCCUGUUGGUGUAACUACAUCGCAAAAUGCACUUGAGUUGAGAUGAGAUUUUUGUAUACGAUAAUUUACUGCUUUCCUGUGCAAAUUAUACAAAGACAAUGAACGUGGGCUGCUUAAUGAGCCAGACAGUGGCAGGUAGAAGAUGGAACAGUUUUGCUUAGGGCCACCAUGUUUUGGCAUGAUGAAUCGUUUCCAGUCACUUGCCAAAACAGAACUAGGCAUUGUCACUGGGACUGAACUUCAAUUAGCCAAUGAAAAGCCAUCACUUUGACCGUGGUGUGAAUAACAACCAAUCAGAAAUGUUGACAGUUGUAUGUAAUCCAGACUCCAAACUCCCUCAAGGUCACUUUCAAGAUGGCGGAUGCGAGUAGAAAGGGCACUUUGUAUUGCAAGAGACUGCCAAUUACUUCUUCACCAGAAAGUGUGUGCAAAACUGCGGAAAGGGAACUACCUAUGGAUCUAACUAGGGAAUCUGUAGGUUAUACAGACUCUGUUGAAUGGUCAGUCGCCGAAGUCAAGGAUAUGGGUGUUGAAGACUUUCAGAAGUGAAACUGUCUCAGGUCAGCGGUCAGCAAACAAUAUGGACGUGCCUUCCGAAGGCCAUCAAAUUUUCUAAGUUUUUUGAAGUUUUGUGUAGUGUUUUUACGUUUUUGUCGUUGUUCUUAUUCCAUAAUGGUUGUGCAUGUUACACACGAUGAGUUGGAGAAAAUACUAAGGCUAAAACUAGAGCCAAUUGAGAAUUCUUUGAACUUUAAAGACGACGAGCACUGUAAGUUGUUGGAGUAAGUGGUCAACCUCGAGAGGACUGUGAAAACUCUUGAGCUGGAGAACAAUGCUCUUAAAGCUCAACUUAAUACUACUAUCAGCAAAGUCAACGAGAAUGUAGUUCUCCUGGAUGAACAAGAGCAAUAUAUGCGCCAAGAAUGUGUCGGUUAGCCGUGACGAAAACACUAAUGAGGUUGUGAAACAAGCGGCCGGCCUUCUCGAUGUAGAGUUAGGCGAAGAUGACAUCUCGAUCAGUCACAGGCUUCCUCCAAUUCCUCCUUGGACAGACAAAGAUGGUACUGUGCAUUCCCCACCUCCAAGUGUUAUAGCAAAGUUUGUAAAGAGGGAUGUCAAGGAGAAAUUUUACAGAGCAAGGUACAAACUCAAAAACAAAUCAUCCAGGGAUCUUGCUGGUACAUCAUCGGCAGAGAGAAACAAAAUAUUCAUCUCUGAAAGCCUUACUCAGACAAGGAAGAAAUUAUUCAAAGCAGCCCUAAAAGUCAAGAAAGAAUUGAAAUUUGACUUCAUAUCCACCUCAAAUGGUCGAAUUUUCCUCAGGCAGAACAAGGACAGUCGCUCUCAUUUAAUUACCAGCGAUUCUGAUCUAGCAAAGUUGAAAGCAGCACAUCGUCCUGCAGGACAAGAUGACCAAGGCUGAACAUAUGGAUCCAGCUAAGUGCUCUAAUUAUUUUCCUGCACUGUUACUAGUUCUCCUUUAUCUCUUAUUACAUUAAAUGAUAGUGCCUAAGCGUAGGAACUGUGUGAGGCCUGUGAAAGAAGAUUGUAGAGGCAUCCAGUGUGGCUCUUGCCUCUGGUGGUUUCACCUAAAAUGUACUGCGUUAUCUGUUAAGGAGUACAACUAUUUCGCUGCGACCUGUGACUUGUGGCUCUGCCUGCACUGCCGUAACAAAAUUUUUCCUUUUAAUUCCGUGGAAGACCAUGAACUGGUUGAGCUACUGGUCUAUAAUUCCAACACAGAUUGUCUUUGCUCUGAAAAAUAUCCAGAUCGAAUUUAGAGUCUUUACCAAGUUUUGAUCUAUCUGCAUCUAUUAAUAAUAAUCGCAAUUUAUCCAGCAUUGAUAUUGACCUGAAUUUACCUUCCGUGACUAAUUUUGGAUAUUACUCAAUUCAUAAGUUCCACUCUAAUGAAGAUAUUCGAUCAACCAUUUCUGAUAAGGCAUUUUCUGCCCUGCACUUUAAUAUUAGAAGUCUUGCAGCAAACUUUGAUGAUUUCUUCCAAAUGUUAAGUGACUUGAAUUAUUCUUUCUCUGUUAUUGGCCUUUCUGAAAAUAAAAUCAAAGUUGAUAUGGAUUCUUAUUUGAAUACCAAUCUCCCUGGUUAUUGUUUCCUGUCUCAACCAUCCAUGUCUAAUGCUGGGGGUGUUGGUUUCUACAUCAAAGACAAUCUUUCAUACAUUAAACAUGAUGACUUCUGCACUACCAAUCCAGAAUUUGAGUCCAUUUGGAUUGAAAUUGAGUUCCCACUUCAGCAUGAUAUUGUCUGUGGAUUAAUAUAUAGGCAUCCUGAUCAAAAUAUUGCCAAAACUGUGGACUUUUUGUAUAAGGUGACUGAGAAAAUAAACAGAGAACGUAAAUUUUGUUUUCUGAUGGGUGAUUUUCAUAUCAAUCUUUUAAAUUAUGACUCUCAUUCUGAGACAGAAGAUUUUGUCAAUACUCUAGGAUCCUAUGCCUUCCAUCCACAGAUUUUGAAACCUACUAGAAUAACCUAUCAUUCCACAACUCUAAUUGAUAACAUUUUCUUUAAUUCACUAGAGCACCAUGCUAUAAGUGGUAAUAUACUGUGUGGCAUAACAGAUCAUUUGCCUAACUUUUUGAUUAUCACAAAGUUAUCUAAUCCUCC